CAGGCCUAACACAUGCAAGUCGAACGGUAACAGAAAGCAGCUUGCUGCUUUGCUGACGAGUGGCGGACGGGUGAGUAAUGUCUGGGAAACUGCCCGAUGGAGGGGGAUAACUACUGGAAACGGUAGCUAAUACCGCAUAACGUCGCAAGACCAAAGAGGGGGACCUUCGGGCCUCUUGCCAUCGGAUGUGCCCAGAUGGGAUUAGCUAGUAGGUGGGGUAAAGGCUCACCUAGGCGACGAUCCCUAGCUGGUCUGAGAGGAUGACCAGCCACACUGGGAACUGAGACACGGUCCA
rnacentral:rRNA from 1 species